GUCCACGCCGUAAACGAUGAGUGCUAAGUGUUAGGGGUUUCCGCCCCUUAGUGCUGCAGCUAACGCAUUAAGCACUCCGCCUGGGGAGUACGGUCGCAAGACUGAAACUCAAAGGAAUUGACGGGGCCCGCACAAGCGGUGGAGCAUGUGGUUUAAUUCGAAGCAACGCGAAGAACCUUACCAGGUCUUGACAUCCCGCUGACCGCUAUGGAGACAUAGUUUUCCCUCGGGGACAGCGGUGACAGGUGGUGCAUGGUUGUCGU
rnacentral:rRNA from 1 species